GACGAACGCUGGCGGCGUGGAUUAGGCAUGCAAGUCGAACGGUAUCAUCCUUCGGGGGUGAGAGAGUGGCGAACUGGUGAGUAACACGUAGGUUAUCUACCCUCAAGACGGGGACAACCCAGGGAAACUUGGGGCUAAUACCGGAUGUGAGCAACUUUAGUUGUUUGAAAGGUGGCGUAAGCUGUCGCUUGGGGAUGAGCCUGCGUCCUAUUAGUUAGUUGGUGAGGUAACGGCUCACCUAGGCAAUGAUAGGUAGGCGGCCUUAACGGGUGGUCGCCCACACUGGGAUUGAGAUACGGCCCAGACUCCUACGGGAGGCAGCAGUCGAGAAUAGUCUACAAUGGUCGGAAGACUGAUAGUGCGACGCCGCGUGAACGAUGAAUCCCUUCGGGGUGUAAAGUUCUUUUAUAUGUGAGCAGUGCUUCUUAUAUUAACAGUAUGGGGAGAGAGAUAUUAGCAUAUGAAUAAGCAACGGCUAACUCCGUG
rnacentral:rRNA from 1 species